UCCUCGCCACGCCCCCUCCCUUCCGGUCUCCGCCUUUCCUCAGGCGCGUGCGCAAUGAGGACGGGCUCGGAGUUAAAAAUCUCCCGCCUAGCGCUCACACGCUCAGUGGAAACCUGCCUGCGGAAGCGGAACUUGAUCUCUCAGAGGAGGCAGGUUUAGCGCUGUGCAACCGCGUGCGGGUUGCCGCGGUGGCUCUGGAUACUUAAAAGCGACAGCGUCUUCCCUCAAGGGGUGAACUUACCAAUUAUUACUUCUCAAAAGCCUAACAUUUGUUUCCUCGUUUGUUUAUAUUAGUUUUUGCAAAGGUUGUGUUUUUGAAGAUUUGCAAGUUCUUGUGUACUUGUUAAUCCUAUUGAAUAGAUAAGGCCGUGACGUUGACUAGACCAAACUAGAGUCGGAUGUAGAGAAACCAAAAUCAAGUUGUUGCCCGUAUUGGAGAUGGAACCCAGGACCUUGCACAUGCUAGUCAAGCAUUCUACCACUGAAUUGCAUCCUCAGCACACAAAUGUGUUUUUACUGACUGCUAUUUUCAGACAUGAACUAAACCUCAUGGGUGUUGAGAGAAAACUAGAGCACCGACAAACUGGACUGGACUACAGGUGGUGAAAGGCUCAGAGCCUGUAGGAAACAGGAAGGAAGGCAGAAGAAUUGGAGACCAGCCAGGAGGGACUGGAACAGCCAGGCUACACUGCUCCUUAGUUACCAAAGGCUUUGUCCAGCCAGAUGUCCUCAGCAUCGCCUUGGUUUUCUCCCUGAAGAAUUUGACUAUUCAUUCUAAAGUCAUCUCAAACGCUGACCACAUUCACAAAUACUCCUCAGAGGCCAAAUACAUUUUUAAAUGCUCAUUCUAGCAAGACAUUUUUAUACAAAGUGGGGUAUAGUUUAGCUGUAAAGAAAUUUAGACUUAUCUCAAACUUGUUAUUUGCUAGCUGAAUCAACUUUAGUAAUUUAUUUAGAUUCUCUAAUCAUCAGUGCUCUCAUCUAUCCAAAAAGUGAGACAAUUUACUCAAUAAAUAUUCAUUUUUUAGGGA